rnacentral:rRNA from 1 species
GUGGCGAACGGGUGAGUAACACGUGAGCAACCUGCCCCGGACUCUGGGAUAACAGUUGGAAACAGCUGCUAAUACCGGAUAUGAGACGUGACCGCAUGGUCGACGUUUGGAAAGAUUUUUCGGUCUGGGAUGGGCUCGCGGCCUAUCAGCUUGUUGGUGAGGUAAUGGCUCACCAAGGCGUCGACGGGUAGCCGGCCUGAGAGGGUGACCGGCCACACUGGGACUGAGACACGGCCCAGACUCCUACGGGAGGCAGCAGUGGGGAAUAUUGCACAAUGGGCGGAAGCCUGAUGCAGCAACGCCGCGUGAGGGACGACGGCCUUCGGGUUGUAAACCUCUUUUAGCAGGGAAGAAGCGAAAGUGACGGUACCUGCAGAAAAAGCACCGGCUAACUACGUGCCAGCAGCCGCGGUAAUACGUAGGGUGCAAGCGUUAUCCGGAAUUAUUGGGCGUAAAGAGCUCGUAGGCGGUUUGUCGCGUCUGCUGUGAAAUCCCGAGGCUCAACCUCGGGCCUGCAGUGGGUACGGGCAGACUAGAGUGCGGUAGGGGAGAUUGGAAUUCCUGGUGUAGCGGUGGAAUGCGCAGAUAUCAGGAGGAACACCGAUGGCGAAGGCAGAUCUCUGGGCCGUAACUGACGCUGAGGAGCGAAAGGGUGGGGAGCAAACAGGCUUAGAUACCCUGGUAGUCCACCCCGUAAACGUUGGGAACUAGUUGUGGGG